AUGAGAGAAGAUAAGGUAUUGCUCCUGCAAGCAGAACUUCCUGUCUUCAAAAUGGAGAUUGCAUUAAAGAGCAGCCAAGAAACAAGUCUAGACUACUUCUCUAUGUCGAAACUGGACACCUGUACCAUCCACUUAAAAGCCUAUUCUCUUGGGACAUUGGAAUCUUCACAAGCCACAGCAGAAAAUGCAUAAAACAAAAAAUAAUUACACAGAAGGAAGGCAUUUAAAGGAAACCUUAGUGACUUAAGGUCUUAAUAUCUAUUUGAAUUCAAUGGUAGAGAAACCGAAAUUUAUUGAGUCUCUUUUUGGGUGAUCUGAGGCUUAGGAGUAGGAUUUGUUUAGGGUUUGGCUCUGAAAUGUGUACUUUGUGGAAUGAAGUUCUCUUUCAAGACAUUUCUUUCUCAACAUAGAGCACUGAUGCACACAAUAUUCAAUUCUCAAAACUCUACAGUAGAGAGGAAGAGAAUGGUGGCAAUUUUAUUGAUGUGAAGUUUUCCACUUGACCGAAUUACAAAUUAACGUUGGGAAACAAUAAUAUGCCAUCAAUUUAGUAAAGCAUUUGUGAUUAUUUCUAAUCUCAAUUUGAAUUUAAACUGACCUGAAGAAAACAUGAUAUGUGUUUUGAAAUCUGGUGCACAGUAGAUUAUCACCUAUGAUGUAUAUUAUUUGGUAGGCAAGAUUUUUGAGUUUGUUAAAAACUUUUGGUAUCUGGGAGAUAUUGUCUUCAAUGAGAUUCCAUGAUGUAGCUAAACUAGCACAAGUUAUUAAUAAUGGACAAGAAAAAUUAAAAAAAAAUUAAUAGCAGGAGAAAGGACAUUAAAAAAUUUAAGAACUGGCAAAAAUGAAACUGAUAUGCAUAAGAAAAAGAGACACCCAUUAUAGAAUCAUAUAAUGGUGUAUGUGGGAAAAUGCCUUAAAACUCAUUAGGUCCACCAGUAAACCAUGUCUCCUUUAAAACUC
rnacentral:lncRNA from 1 species